rnacentral:rRNA from 1 species
CCUACGGGUGGCAGCAGUGAGGAAUAUUGGUCAAUGGUCGUAAGCCUGAACCAGCCAAGUAGCGUGCAGGAUGACGGCCCUAUGGGUUGUAAACUGCUUUUAUGCGGGGACAAAAUGCGCCACAUGUGACGUUCCGUAGGUACCGCAUGAAUAAGCAUCGGCUAACUCCGUGCCAGCAGCCGCGGUAAUACGGAAGAUCCGAGCGUUAUCCGGAUUUAUUGGGUUUAAAGGGUGCGUAGGCGGCAGGUAAAGUGGGCGGUAAAAUUGAGAGGAGCAACCUCUGCGAGCCGGGGCUAAUGGUUUUCUUGAGUGAGUGAGAAGUAUGCGGAAUGAGUGGUGUAGCGGUGAAAUGCAUAGAUAUCACGCAGAACUCCGAUGGCGAAGGCAGCAUAACGGCGCUCAACGGACGCUCAGGCACGAAAGGGUGGGUAUAGAACAGGAUUAGAUACCCGUGUAGUC